rnacentral:sRNA from 3 species
CAUAAGGUGAUCUAGGGUUCCGAUGCUGUUUACUAACAGGAUGGCUGGUCCGAGAGAUUACGGUUCGUAAGAACUACACGGAGGGAUAAAAGCCCAGGAGGU